CUGCCCAGUGACAAAGUUUAACGGCCGCGGAACCCUAACCGUGCAAAGGUAGCAUAAUCACUUGCCUAUUAAUUGUAGGCUAGAAUGAACGGAUGAACGAAAUAAAGACUGUCUCAAUCAGAUUACUAAAAAUUAACACAUGCAUGAAGAGUUGCAAAUAAAGUCGAAGGACAAGAAGACCCUAUAGAGCUUUAUUUUAAUUGUGGGCAUGACCAUAUAAAAAUUCGGUUGGGGCGACCAAGGACAUAAGUAAUAUCAACCUAAAUAAAAAUGAUAAAUAAAUCUAUAAAUUGACCCUUAUUAAGAACAUGAAAAUAAGCUACCUUAGGGAUAACAGGCUAAUCCUAUUUAAGAGUUCAUAUCUACAAUAGGGUUUGGCACCUCGAUGUUGGCUUAGGGUAUCAGUAUGGCGCAAAAGUUGUAUGAAGAUGGUUUGUUCAACCAGUAACUCCCU
rnacentral:rRNA from 1 species